rnacentral:misc_RNA from 1 species
UACGGAGGGUGCAAGCGUUGUUCGGAAUUAUUGGGCGUAAAGCGCGCGCAGGCGGGGCACUAAGUCCGAUGUGAAAUCCCUCGGCCCAACCGAGGACGUGCAUUGGAUACUGGUGCUCUUGAGUCCUGGAGAGGGUGGCGGAAUUCCCAGUGUAGAGGUGAAAUUCGUAGAUAUUGGGAGGAACACCAGUGGCGAAGGCGGCCACCUGGACAGUGACUGACGCUGAGGCGCGAAAGCGUGGGUAGCAAACAGG